GACGAACGCUGGCGGCAUGCCUAACACAUGCAAGUCGAACGAGACCUUCGGGUCUAGUGGCGCACGGGUGCGUAACGCGUGGGAAUCUGCCCUUGGGUUCGGAAUAACAGUUAGAAAUGACUGCUAAUACCGGAUGAUGACUUCGGUCCAAAGAUUUAUCGCCCAAGGAUGAGCCCGCGUAGGAUUAGCUAGUUGGUAGGGUAAAGGCCUACCAAGGCGACGAUCCUUAGCUGGUCUGAGAGGAUGAUCAGCCACACUGGGACUGAGACACGGCCCAGACUCCUACGGGAGGCAGCAGUGGGGAAUAUUGGACAAUGGGCGAAAGCCUGAUCCAGCAAUGCCGCGUGAGUGAUGAAGGCCCUAGGGCUGUAAAGCUCUUUUACCCGGGAUGAUAAUGACAGUACCGGGAGAAUAAGCCCCGGCUAACUCCGUGCCAGCAGCCGCCGUAACAC
rnacentral:rRNA from 1 species